rnacentral:rRNA from 1 species
GACGAACGCUGGCGGCGUGCUUAACACAUGCAAGUCGAGCGGUAAGGCCCUUUCGGGGGUACGACGAGCGGCGAACGGGUGAGUAACACGUGGGUGACCUGCCCUCAGCUCUGGGAGUAAGCCUGGGAAACCGGGUCUAAUACUGGAUAUGACUCCAUGACGCAUGUUGUGGGGUGGAAAGCCUUGUGCGGCUGAGGAUGGGCCCGCGGCCUAUCAGCUUGUUGGUGGGGUGAUGGCCUACCAAGGCGACGACGGGUAGCCGGCCUGAGAGGGCGACCGGCCACACUGGGACUGAGACACGGCCCAGACUCCUACGGGA